rnacentral:rRNA from 1 species
ACGCGAAGAACCUUACCUAGACUUGACAUCUCCUGAAUUACUCUUAAUCGAGGAAGUCACUUCGGUGACAGGAAGACAGGUGGUGCAUGGUUGUCGUCAGCUCGUGUCGUGAGAUGUUGGGUUAAGUCCCGCAACGAGCGCAACCCUUAUUGUUAGUUGCUACCAUUUAGUUGAGCACUCUAGCGAGACUGCCCGGGUUAACCGGGAGGAAGGUGGGGAUGACGUCAAAUCAUCAUGCCCCUUAUGUCUAGGGCUACACACGUGCUACAAUGGUCGGUACAGAGAGAUGCUAAAUCGUGAGGUGGAGCCAAACUUUAAAACCGAUCUCAGUUCGGAUUGUAGGCUGAAACUCGCCUACAUGAAGCUGGAGUUGCUAGUAAUCGCGAAUCAGAAUGUCGCGGUGAAUACGUUCUCGC